rnacentral:rRNA from 1 species
GGUUCGCCGCUUUCUUAGAAGGGAUAUCGGCUCAAGCGAUGGAAGUUUGAGGCAAUAACCAGUUCUGUGAUGCCCUUUAGAUGUUCUGGCCGCACGCGCGCUACACUGACAGAGCCAACGAGUUCAUUUCCUUGUCCGAAAGGUCUGGGUAAUCUUGUUAAACUCUGUCGUGCUGGGGAUAGAGCAUUGCAAUUAUUGCUCUUCAACGAGGAAUGCCUAGUAAGCGCAUGUCAUCAGCAUGCGUUGAUUACGUCCCUGCCCUUUGUACACACCGCCCGUCGCUACUACCGAUUGAAUGGCUCGGUGAGGCCUUCGGACUGGCCCAGGGAGGUCGGCAACGACCACCCAGGGCCGGAAAGUUGGUCAAACUUGGUCAUUU